UAUAAAUUGAAAAGCAUAUUUUCAACUCAUUAAAUCUAUAAACAAACAUGAACGUAAAUUAAGCCAGCUUUAAAAUAUAUUAAAAUGAAAAAUUGAAAACCUAUCUCAACUUGAUGAUGAAUACAACAUACCCUUUAGGCAUUGCGAAAGGGUAACGACGAAGCUAAAGUAUACCUUUGAGCGGCACUGCAAUAAGAUAGCAAAAUGUGGGCGAAGUGAGAUGGCUAUAAAUACUAGCAGACGCCUUGGGAACGUCGUCGUCUGACAGUUGCUAAAACUAUGCCAACGGCACUUAAGGUUAAAGCAGCAGCAACGGCAGACGAAGAAGUAGAUGCCAGAUGGCAGGCGGGGUCAGUGUGGCAGUCGGUUAGUCAAUGGUCGCUCGCAAUGGACGCAACAGUUGGUUGGCCACUCGUUUAGGGUUUUUGGUACCCAGCGUGCAGAAACAGAACAGAAUGACAACCGCGACGACACGGCAAUUUGGUCAGGCUCGAAGCACACAAACAAAGUGGCCAACGUGCACGCUCUUGUCUUUAUUGUUGUGCCUUGUUGUUGUUGCUUUAGUAGCUGGAAAAAUGUUUGCUAGCAGCCGUUGCACAUUAUUGUUGCGCCUUUUAUGAGUGUGCGUUUGCUAUACAUUGCGUAUACGUAAUAUGGCAAGCUGUUGAUAAAGCAAACAUUAAAUUGUUGACUAUGCAGCAAUUUGAGUAAAAUAAUAUUAUUUCUGGUACAAAAUAUAUACACAAUUUUUUAAAUUUAAUUAAAGUGCGACAAAUGCUUA